rnacentral:rRNA from 1 species
GAUGAACGCUGGCGGCGUGCCUAAUACAUGCAAGUCGAGCGAACAGACGAGGAGCUUGCUCCUCUGACGUUAGCGGCGGACGGGUGAGUAACACGUGGAUAACCUACCUAUAAGACUGGGAUAACUUCGGGAAACCGGAGCUAAUACCGGAUAAUAUAUUGAACUGCAUGGUUCAAUAGUGAAAGACGGUUUUGCUGUCACUUAUAGAUGGAUCCGCGCCGCAUUAGCUAGUUGGUAAGGUAACGGCUUACCAAGGCGGCGAUGCGUAGCCGACCUGAGAGGGUGAUCGGCCACACUGGAACUGAGACACGGUCCAGACUCCUACGGGAGGCAGCAGUAGGGAAUCUUCCGCAAAGGGCGAAAGCCUGACGGAGCAACGCCGCGUGAGUGAUGAAGGUCUUCGGAUCGUAAAACUCUGUUAUUAGGGAAGAACAAAUGUGUAAGUAACUAUGCACGUCUUGACGGUACCUAAUCAGAAAGCCACGGCUAACUACGUG